rnacentral:rRNA from 1 species
UAACAAGGAUUCCCCUAGUAACUGCGAGUGAAGCGGGAAAAGCUCAAAUUUAAAAUCUGGCGGUCUUUGGCCGUCCGAGUUGUAGUCUGGAGAAGCGUCUUCCGCGUUGGACCGUGUACAAGUCUCUUGGAACAGAGCGUCAUAGAGGGUGAGAAUCCCGUCUUUGACACGGACUACCAAUGCUUUGUGAUGCGCUCUCAAAGAGUCGCGUUGUUUGGGAAUGCAGCGCAAAAUGGGAGGUGAAUUCCUUCUAAAGCUAAAUAUUGGCGAGAGACCGAUAGCGAACAAGUACCGUGAGGGAAAGAUGAAAAGCACUUUGGAAAGAGAGUUAAACAGUACGUGAAAUUGCUAAAAGGGAAACGCUUGAAGUCAGUCGCGUCGUCCGGAACUCAGCUUUGCUUCGGCUUAGUGCACUUUCCGGUUGACGGGCCAGCAUCGAUUUUGACCGCUGGAAAAGGGCUGGAGGAAUGUGGCACCUUCGGGUGUGUUAUAGCCUUCAGUCGCAUACAGCGGUUGGGAUCGAGGAACGCAGCGCGCCUUAUGGCUGGGGUUCGCCCACAUUCGCGCUUAGGAUGCUGGCAU